rnacentral:rRNA from 1 species
AAGCAUAUUAAUAAGCAGAGGAAAAGAAACUAACAAGAAUUCCCUCAGUAAGGGCGACUGAAAGGGGAAAAGCUUAUCAUGUUAAUCGGUGUCUCUGGCACUGAAUUGUGGUGUAAAAGUACGAAUGCUAGUACCUUGGUAAAGUCUCUUGGAACAGAGUGACAGAGAGGGUGAGAUCCCCGUUUAACCUUGGUUUAAAAUUUGUGCUGAYGAGUCGAGUUGUUUGGGAUUGCAGCUCAAAGUUGGUGGUAAAUUCCAUCUAAAGCUAAAUAUUAGUAGGAGCCCGAUAGUAAAAAAGUACCGUGAGGGAAAGAUGCAAAGAACUUUGAAAAGAGAGUUAAAGAGUACCUGAAACUGCUGAAGGGAAUGUGAAAAAAACAAGUGUCUGUAUAAUCAUAUUGUUCAUUCCAUUUAGGGAUGGAUGCUUUGACACACAGAGUUUGCAUUUGCUGUUGAGGGCUUGGUUGUUUUUUGUUUGUUUUGCAAAAUCUGAUAAGACCACUACGGCAGAUGUAUACAAAAUUGUUUUUUUCUCCCCGUCUUGAA